CAAGUGUUAAUUUCACUAAAGAAAAUAAUGCAACAGCACUAUAGAAUCAUUAAGGAUAUCAAGUGAAUUUUUUGAGUCAGGAUAACCGAAGUUUACAUAUACUUUCAAAGUUUGGAUUAAGAAAAUUGCACCUAGAGCAACAUAGAUUUCGUGCACGAUAAUAUUAGAAGUUACAGGGAGAUUUUCCUAACUGAAGCAAAACCUGUGCUAAUGUCCCCGAGAUUCCCUAAAUAUGGAAUAGAUUGCAAUCCACUACCAAUCUCUGAACCUGCAAUUGCUUGUUGAGUGCGUUGCAGAGUUAAAAAUCCCAGCAUCAACAUAAAUUUCAAAUGACUAUGUGAUGGAGAAGUCAAAACUAAGAAACCCAAGGUUUUUGGACUUCUCUUCCAUGAAUUAUUUGAUGAAGCUAAUUUUCUUGUAACGUUGCAGCCCACACCAGUACGAGAUAGCAGAGUAAGGUUGCAGCUCUUGCACUUUCUGCUUUUAAGUUACUAUGCAACAAGUUAGCAUUUCAUUGAAAUUGAAAUGCAGGAUAAAAAUUGGAAUAAAAAAUUAAAAAGCUUUUGGCAAUAAUAUCAUUAUUCAACAAAAAAACUUGUAAAAUGGAAAGAAACAAAAAUGGAAAUGGUAUUCUUUAUAAGAAGCUUUGAUCAGAGAAAUCACGUAUAUGUUAAAUCACCUGAUAUGAAAGCUUGUUAUAGAAAAAGUGAAUAUUUUUUCUUUAUAUUUAUAUUUUCAACAUGUCUUCUCAUGUGGAUGAAUGAUUUAAUUUUUACUCGUGGCCUGACAUAUUAAAUUUCCUUAAUUGGGUGGAACUAAGACUUGAACCUCAAAAACUAUAGAUUGUUGUAAUAUAGUCUUAAAUCACAUCAUCUAAAACUUUAAAUUGUUUGAGAGGAAAGAAAUUUCUUUAUCUACAUUUAUAUAUUCAA
rnacentral:lncRNA from 1 species